rnacentral:rRNA from 1 species
CNAUCGGCGGACGGGCUGAGAUAAUGCCUGGGGAUCUGCCCAGNUCNCAGGGGGAUAACANAUUGGAAACGACUGCUAAUACCGCAUACGCCCUACGGGNGAAAGGAGGGGACCUUCNGGCCUUUCGCGAUUGGAUGAACCCAGGUGGGAUUANCUAGUUGGUGGGGUAAUGGCUCACCAAGGCGACGAUCCCUANCUGGUCUGAGAGGAUGAUCANCCACACUGNAACUGANACNCGGUCCAGACUCCUACGGGAGGCAGCAGUGGGNAAUAUUGCNCAAUGGGGUAAACCCUGAUGCAGCCAUGCCGCGUGUGUGAAGAAGGCCUUCGGGUUGUAAAGCACUUUCAGCGAGGAGGAAAGGUUGGCGCCUAAUACGUGUCAACUGUGACGUUACUCGCAGAAGAAGCACCGGCUAACUCCGUGCCAGCAGCCGCGGUAAUACGGAGGGUGCAAGCGUUAAUCGGAAUUACUGGGCGUAAAGCGCACGCAGGCGGUUGGAUAAGUUAGAUGUGAAAGCCCCGGGCUCAACCUGGGAAUUGCAUUUAAAACUGUCCAGCUAGAGUCUUGUAGAGGGGGGUAGAAUUCCAGGUGUAGCGGUGAAAUGCGUANAGAUCUGGAGGAAUACCGGUGGCGAAGGCGGCCCCCUGGACAAAGACUGACGCUCAGGUGCGAAAGCGUGGGGAGCAAACAGGAUUANAUACCCUGGUAGUCCACGCCGUAAACGAUGUCGAUUUGGANGCUGUGUCCUUGAAACGUGGCUUCCGGANCUANCGCGUUNAAUCNACCGCCU